rnacentral:rRNA from 1 species
CCUACGGGUGGCUGCAGUGGGGAAUAUUGGACAAUGGGGGGAACCCUGAUCCAGCCAUGCCGCGUGUGUGAAGAAGGCCCUCGGGUUGUAAAGCACUUUCAGUGAGGAAGAACGCCUGGUGGUUAAUACCCAUCAGGAAAGACAUCACUCACAGAAGAAGCACCGGCUAACUCCGUGCCAGCAGCCGCGGUAAUACGGAGGGUGCGAGCGUUAAUCGGAAUUACUGGGCGUAAAGCGCGCGUAGGUGGCUUGAUAAGCCGGUUGGGAAAGCCCCGGGCUCAACCUGGGAACGGCAUCCGGAACUGUCAAGCUAGAGUGCAGGAGAGGAAGGUAGAAUUCCCGGUGUAGCGGUGAAAUGCGUAGAGAUCGGGAGGAAUACCAGUGGCGAAGGCGGCCUUCUGGACUGACACUGACACUGAGGUGCGAAAGCGUGGGUAGCAAACAGGAUUAGAUACCCGUGUAGUC